GAAGAAGAAUUUUGCCAAAACAAAUUUGAUUUGAAUUGUUCUCUGUGAUUCGCGCCCUGCAGAUUUGGUGCGCCUUUGCUGGGAUUAUGGGGUUCCAGUUUGUGCAUUGAUGUCAGUUUGCUCCUACAUAAAUUAUAGAACUAAUUUUUUUUUUUUGAAAGGCUACUGAUUUUACAUUCUUAGAUAUUCACUAUGUAGGAGAAAUGGCUGUUGAAAUAGGGUCUGGGCUUCCACACGUAAUGUGCAAGGAACAGGAUGCGUCAGUGUGAGAAUAACAGAUCCUGUAUUGUUUCUUGCAUAGUGUUUUUUUAAUGCCUUUUUAUUAAAUCAAUGCUCUUUGGACUGGCUUCACAAAUACUCUUCUAUUUUAUUUCUAGAAGUAUUAAGAAAGAGUGUAAUUUAAAAGGGUUUUACUGGGUUUUGAUUGUUAGACAAAUUGUAGCUGGCUCUUAAUUAGAGCUUCUUCUUUGCCUAUUUGUUAUCCAAUUUGUUCAUGUCUAUGGUCUUAGAGAUGGAAGAAUUUUGGCUUUCCAAGCACAUUACUAUUUAUCUAUCCAGCUAUGAACCAGGGCAUAGGCACAACCAGAGCAUGUAAAACACUUAAUUUUGGUAGUACCUGACUACCUGCUCGAUUUACUUCAGAAUCACCUGCAGCCACUGAGUAGCUUACAAGGUUUCGAACAACAUAUGGGAGGAGAAAGUUCUAAACCAAUGGGAAUCUAAUUUUACUUCUAAAAAAAUGAACAAGUAAGAGUGCUCUGUCUUUGGCUUUGGCUUAAUUCGCUGCACCCUUAAAUUGCUUCAUUUACAUUUUAUAAAUUUCUUUCUUUAAUGCACCAAGUUUGUUAAUUUUCUUAACAUCUAAUGUUUGUUAUGCAAUUGGCUGAUCUCAUAACAUGGGGAGUUUUAACAGGUUAGCACUCUCUAUGUUGGGUGUGAGUGUGACCAUGUUGGAGAUGCAAUAUUGUCAAAGAAAGUUCUUACGUUACUUGCAACUAAUAAAUUCCAAUGCUUGACAUAUAUCUUUCCUAUAGCUGAUUAAAUUUUAUUUCAUCCUACUACUUUUUGUCUCCUAAUACAAAAAUCUGUUGUGUUUUUGGACUCUGAGACUUGCUGUUCUGGGACAUUUGUGCACUUGAUCUACAUUUUCAAAUAAAUUGAUUUAGAUUCAUACAUAUGUUUCCUCAAGCAAGCUCUUUCCUGCUCUUUUCCUUCUUAGGUUAUUGGUCCAACUACACCUUCUUACAUUUAUGCCUUUUCUUUUUUCCCCCCCUUUAACUUUCAAAUUUAGCUUCUACCCCUUUCCCAUGAUCAACCUAAGUUUAUACCUCUGUUAUACUUAUACCUCUGGAUUUGGAUGCCAUGAGGAAGAUGUAGCCUUGACUGAAGGCGCAAAGUGUUUGUUAAUUACUUGAUGGAAUAUCUAAGUCAUUACAUGUUCAGUGAAACAAGCGAUGUUGAUGAAGAUGGUGCUAAUGCUAAUGCUAUGGUCUCCUAAAAUAAAUGAACUUCAACUUGAGAGUCUGUAGUGCAUUAGUACCCUCUUUUUUAAUGUGCAGGUUCAAAUGAGACAGAUGCAGCAAUUUUUGCAUUCACGUAAUUUCAUGUAUUCCUUUCUCAAAUUAGUACUUAACAUUUGUUGGUAUAAUCCUAAGAACGAAGAGUAUUUUCCAUAAUGGAGCAUCACUGGAAGGACCAGAACCAGUUAAUGAUGUGAUGAGGGUUUCUUUUUCCCCAAAAUUAGAAUGCAGUUUGGACCGAACACUGGGAUUUCUGACUCUUUUCACUGGUGAGACAAGCGAAAUUCACGUAAAAGUCGAAGAACAAAUGGACACCAAUGUGACAGUGGAGAGAAAAACAUUCUGGACACCAAUGUCCUUUUCAUUGAUGAGGUGAUCAUACCUGACAGAAUGUUUUUCUUUUCUCAAUCGAGCUCUAGAGAAUGUGAUGGGUCUAUUAGUUGUUGUUGGGGUAUGAAAGUGUUUUAGGAGUGAAUGAAUGUUUGUUUAAAGAGAUUUUUAUAAUUCUUAGAAGCCAUACUUUGAGAUAUUUCUAUACAUGGGGCAUGAUAUUAAUAGGGCAAAGUUUUCAGCCAUCUAUUGUCUCUUCAACAGCUUCAAGAGACAGCACAAC